GCCUUCCUUAGCUUGGUACAGCUCUGUUUGCAGCAAGAUCCUGAGAAAAGGCCAUCAGCAAGCAGUUUAUUAUCCCAUGUUUUCUUCAAACAGAUGAAGGAAGAAAGCCAGAGUUCAAUACUUUCACUGUUGCCUCCUGCUUGUCACAGGCCAUCAACAGCUCCACCUCCAGUGUCACCUUGGACUGAGCCGGAAUGGGAUUUUCCUGAUGAAAAAGAUACAAACUGGGAAUUCUAGGGCUGCCAAACCCUUUUAUGUCCUAUAUAC